rnacentral:rRNA from 1 species
AACGCGAAGAACCUUACCAAGGCUUGACAUAUACUGGACCGCAUCAGAGAUGGUGUUUCCCUUCGGGGCUGGUAUACAGGUGGUGCGUGGUUGUCGUCAGCUCGUGUCGUGAGAUGUUGGGUUAAGUCCCGCAACGAGCGCAACCCUCGUUCUAUGUUGCCAGCACGUUAUGGUGGGGACUCAUAGGAGACUGCCGGGGUCAACUCGGAGGAAGGUGGGGAUGACGUCAAAUCAUCAUGCCCCUUAUGUCUUGGGCUUCACGCAUGCUACAAUGGCCGGUACAGAGGGUUGCGAUACUGUGAGGUGGAGCUAAUCCCUAAAAGCCGGUCUCAGUUCGGAUUGGGGUCUGCAACUCGACCCCAUGAAGUCGGAGUCGCUAGUAAUCGCAGAUCAGCA